rnacentral:rRNA from 1 species
CAGCUGUAGCUGACUCAUGCUCGCCGGCAUCCAGUGUUCCCCCGCACCUUGACGACGUCGGGUAGACACUGUCUCGUCUGAGGACGCUUAAACGGGUCGAUCCAUGUAGGAGAUGUACCAUCGUUGAACUUCUUUUAAGAAGGAAAAACGAAGGUACUGGACUAUAGGAGGAGUGACUACAUAGCUCCUCGGCACUGGGCCGGAGUGUCCUUCCCGGUCCCGCUUCUGCAUAGGGGCUGCCGGUUCUGUGCCGGUGCCACCACUAAAAACUACCACUCUGUCUCGUCUGAGCUCGCUGAAACGGGUCGGUCCUCGUGUAUUUUCUAUUAGUCGCAAAUAAGCGAUCGACCUUAAUUUCCGUUGCCGCUCUCUCGUUCUAGUUCCUGUUGAAGUUUUAAAUUCUUAUAUACGUUCUUUACCUGCACUUCGUUGUAAAUAUUGGUUAGAGGCCUGUCAUAAUAUGGACUAAGGCAGCUCAUCUGCAAUAGUUGUUAAAGUCGAUGCCCAUACUACGAGCGUAACACAAGACGUAGUGAAGAGGGCG